rnacentral:rRNA from 1 species
UACGGAGGGUGCGAGCGUUGUCCGGAACCAUUGGGCGUAAAGGGCGCGUAGGUGGCCCGGUCAGUUCGUGGUGAAAGCGCGGGGCUCAACCCUGCGUCGGCCAUGAAUACUGCCGCGGCUGGAGCACUGUAGAGGCAGGCGGAAUUCCGGGUGUAGCGGUGGAAUGCGUAGAGAUCCGGAAGAACACCGGUGGCGAAGGCGGCCUGCUGGGCAGUUGCUGACACUGAGGCGCGACAGCGUGGGGAGCAAACAGG